GGCCCUCUGGCCUCAUCAUGGCCAGAAAGGACAAGACUUGCUGGGCUGCUCUGUGAGCCAUGGGCAACUGGCUAGGGAAAGGCCCUGCAUGGAGUCUGCAUGUCUGCCAGUCACUGGGCAGAGCACUGGCCUGGCACACACAAAGCCCUGGGUGCCAUCCAUCCCCAGUACCAGGUAAACAUGAGUGGAGUGCAUGCCUACUGUCC
rnacentral:lncRNA from 1 species